rnacentral:rRNA from 1 species
CCUACGGGUGGCAGCAGUGGGGAAUAUUGGGCAAUGGGCGCAAGCCUGACCCAGCAACGCCGCGUGAAGGAAGAAGGCUUUCGGGUUGUAAACUUCUUUUAAGGGGGACGAACAAAUGACGGUACCCCUUGAAUAAGCCACGGCUAACUACGUGCCAGCAGCCGCGGGAAUACGUAGGUGGCAAGCGUUAUCCGGAUUUAUUGGGUGUAAAGGGCGUGUAGGCGGGAGCGCAAGUCAGAUGUGAAAACUCAGGGCUCAACCCUGGGCCUGCAUUUGAAACUGUGUUUCUUGAGUGCGGGAGAGGCAAUCGGAAUUCGGUGUGUAGCGGUGAAAUGCGUAGAUAUACGGAGGAACACCAGUGGCGAAGGCAGAUUGCUGGACAGUAACUGACGCUGAGGCGCGAAAGCGUGGGGAGCAAACAGGAUUAGAUACCCGGGUAGUC